URCGGGAGAAAGCAGGGGACCUUARGGCCUUGCGCUAUCAGAUGAGCCUAGGUCGGAUUAGCUAGUUGGUGAGGUAAUGGCUCACCAAGGCGACGAUCCGUAACUGGUCUGAGAGGAUGAUCAGUCACACUGGAACUGAGACACGGUCCAGACUCCUACGGGAGGCAGCAGUGGGGAAUUUUGGACAAUGGGCGAAAGCCUGAUCCAGACCAURCCGCGUGAUGUGAAGAAGGUCUUCGGAUUGUAAAGCACUUUAAGUUGGGAGGAAGGGCAGUAAGUUAAUACCUUGCUGUUWUGACGUUACCAACAGAAUAAGCACCGGCUAACUUUGUGCCAGCAGCCCGCGGUAAU
rnacentral:rRNA from 1 species